CCAACUCCGUGCGUCUGCUCGACCGAUCCACCGCGAUGUCUAGCUCCGACGUCAGUGCCAUGCCCGCAGCCAACCACGAGGGGCACAGCCUGGCGGGCCCCGCCCCGCCCCCUGCGCCGGUGGUUCACAAGCGCAAGCCCGGGAGACCCCAGGAGAAAAGCCCGCCCCCAGCGGCCACCAGAGAGGAGCUGGAAUCCAGGGAGUCCCGGGAAGGACCCUUGAAGGUGCUUGCGCUCCCGGCGCCAGGGGCCCGGCGUGCUUAUGUUGUCUCAGAUGACAAGAUGGUGAGCCGCGCUCGCGCCCCCACACGGCGUGCAAGCGCGGUAUCCAACAACAAGAUGAUGGACAGGAACGAGAUAACGCCGGUGGUUCGCAGGCGCAAGCCCGGGAGACCCCAGGAGAAAAGCCCGCCCCCAGCGGCCAUCAGAGAGGAGCUGGAAUCCCGGGAGUCCCGGGAAGGCCCCUUGAAGGUGCUUGCACUCCCGGCGCCAGGGGCCCCGCGUACUCACGCUGUCUCCGGCGACAAGAUGAUGAGACGCGCUCGCGCCCCCACCCGGCAUGCAAACAUUGUCUCCGACGACAAGAUGGUGAGCCGCGCUCGCGCCCCCACCCUGCAUGCAAACCAUGUCUCCGAUGACAAGAUGAUGGACAAGAACGAGAUGGCGCCAGUCCAGGGGGUGCCGCGCAUGCGAGGGAGCAUCGCGUCGUCAAGUGCGGUUGGCCUUUGAAGCAAUCUGACUGAGCGUGUUCAAUAAGUUGAUUGAUCCCAUUUGAGGAAGUAUCUCCAUUGAGGUGGGGUCGAGAGUGAAGGACUGGGUAGCUUGGAUGCAGGGGAAAUGGCACCUCGAGGGGUUCAAGUCUUCAUGAUCAAUAACCACAAUUUUGAUCUGAAUGAGCUACCGACUGAGCAUGAGUAGCUCAAGAAGGAGUAGUCACCCGUGGAGCAAGAGUAGCCACCUAUGGCACAACAUGAGCUUUAAUAUUCACAAUGGUUGGAGGCUACUCAAAUCCACCUUGUGUGAGCAAAAAUAACUCUUGGCCCAAAGUAUAGCCAUGUCAGAAAUUAUCGAAACAAUAUCCUUAUCCCAAGGACGAUUGUAAAGCUUAUGUGGAACUUUUCAAUUUCUCGCUUCCUAUUUUUUGGUGAUUGCCUGACGCUAUUGCUAAACUUGAGGGAAGGACUUGGUAUACUGCCUCAUGA